rnacentral:rRNA from 1 species
CCUACGGGUGGCAGCAGUGAGGAAUAUUGGUCAAUGGGCGCGAGCCUGAAACAGCCAAGUAGCGUGAAGGAUGACUGCCCUACGGGUUGUAAACUUCUUUUAUAAAGGAAUAAAGUGAGGCACGUGUGCCUAUUUGUAUAUACUUUAUGAAUAAGGAUCGGCUAACUCCGUGCCAGCAGCAGCGGUAAUACGGAGGAUCCGAGCGUUAUCAGGAUUUAGUGGGUUUAAAGGGAGCGUAGAUGGGUUGGUAAGUCAGUUGUGAAAGUUUGCGGCUCAACCGUAAAAUUGCAAUUGAUACUGGCAGUCUUGAGUACAGUAGAGAUAGGCGGAAUUCGUGGUGUAGCGGUGAAAUGCUUAGAUAUCACGAAGAACUCCGAUUGCGAAGGCAGCUUACUAAGCUGCCACUGACAUUGAUGCUCGAAAGUGUGGGUAUCAAACAGGAUUAGAUACCCCUGUAGUC